AGUUCAAACUCAUUACUUAAGAUACUGAGUACCUGAGGGAGUAGGCAGAAAACAUCCCCUUCUAACCUAGUCUGAAACCUAUUUGUAGUCUCAACUUUAACGCAGAAAUGACUUCUAAACCACUUGGAACAUAUUUGCACAGGGGCUAAUUGAUACUACACAGAUAUUCCUGGAAGAUUAACAAAACUGCAGACCCAGACAAAAGCUUUAGUGGAGUUCUUGUAAAGGUGACAGAACAGAAAAUCUUCUGUUUGUAGAAGUAGAUCAGGGACAAAUAAAGCAGCCUAAUAUGUGAACCUUGUUUCCAUAUCAUCAUGUGGAAAUGAAGAAGGAGAAAGAAUUCCAAGAAGCCAGGAAUGAAAAGAGGAACCUGAAAGCCAGAUAUUUCAGUAGGCCCAAAUAUCCAAUCCUGAUUCAAGUGUAUUGUUAUUCUUAGGUGUACAAAUUGAUGAAUGUUGUCUGUUCAGACUGGAAGACCUUGAGAACUUUAAAUUGGAUGAAGUUAAUUAACAUAUAGUGCAAAGCUGGUCUCUUUUGGAAUAAUAAAACUAAAUUUUACUGUAAACUGGGAGUUUAUUUGCCGAAUAUGUUUUGUAUCCUGUAUGGAAGUAAAACCGGCUUUCUGUCACAGUGGCCUUUGCAUACAGUCAUACCAAGAAAAAUGGUUCAGCAUAAGGCAAAGAUUAUUUGAAGAAAAAGGUCUAAUUCUCCAGGCACUGGAGAGGAUUCACACUUUGGACUUGCUUCUUCGAAAGAAGCAAGAUUAACCAUAUGGACUGGCUACUAAAAAGAAGACCUGUGUCUUCUGUGCCUUUGGACCCAUCUGCAAAAUGGACCUAAGAUGCUACAUUAUCUCAUAAAAACACUCAAAUAGGAAAGAAUGUUAUUGUUGAAGCAUGAUUUUUUCUUAACAGGGAAAGUAGUAAGAUCUGAGGUUUGAAAGCUGAAAAAUGAGAAAGAAAAAGGAAAGCUACUAUUAACUGAACAUUAUCCAUUUGGUUUACUAGCCUGUGCACUGUGGUUAUGGAAUAAGCUGUGCAUCCUAAUGAGCAUGCAGAAGUGAAUGACCUCGAGACUGCACUGUUUCUGAGUAGUUCAUUGAGAUAUUUUAAGUGUUCUCUCAAGUAGUACUCUGUAACUAUAUGCAUAGCAUAGGAUGAACUUCUACAGGUAUGGAUAAAUAAAUGUAGUUGGAUGCAGUUUCUUUUGUACUGC
rnacentral:lncRNA from 1 species